GAUGAACGCUGGCGGCGUGCCUAAUACAUGCAAGUCGAACGAGGUGCUUUUGUAGCAAUACGGAAGUAUCCUAGUGGCGAACGGGUGAGUAACGCGUUGGUGACCUGCCCCAAAGUGUGGGAUAACAGUCCGAAAGGAUUGCUAAUACCGCAUGUGGUCUUCGGGCUUAGAAACCGAUGACUAAAGGAGCAAUCCGCUUUGGGUAGGGACCUGCGUCCCAUCAGCUAGUUGGUAGGGUAACGGGCCUACCAAGGCUACGACGGGUAGGGGGACCGUUAGAGGGGUGGGCCCCCCGACCCAACUAGGU
rnacentral:rRNA from 1 species